CGGUGUUCAACUGGCGUGCCCGCGGGACGUCCUGCCGGUGAGCUCAGCCCGCGAGGGCGGCUCAACUUGAAAUCCCAUCGCGGUGCUCUUCAUUGAGUGUCGAGGUGGGCCGGCACGAUUACUUUUGAACAAAUUAGAGUGCUUAAAGCAGGCUAAAAUUUUGCCUGAAUACUGUGUAUAUGGAAUAAUGGAAUAGGACCUCGGUUCUAUUUUGUUGGUUUUCGGAACCCCGAGGUAAUGAUUAAUAGGAACGGAUGGGGGCAUUCGUAUUGCGACGUUAGAGGUGAAAUUCUUGGAUCGUCGCAAGACGGACUAAAGCGAAAGCAUUUGCCAAAAACGCUUUCAUUGAUCAAGAACGAAAGUUAGAGGUUCGAAGGCGAUCAGAUACCGCCCUAGUUCUAACCAUAAACUAUGCCAGCUAGCGAUCCGCCGACGUCCCUCUGAUGACUCGGCGGGCAGCUUCCGGGGAAACCAAAGCUUUUGGGUUCCGGGGGAAGUAUGGUUGCAAAGCUGAAACUUAAAGGAAUUGACGGAAGGGCACCACCAGGAGUGGAGCCUGCGGCUUAAUUUGACUCAACACGGGAAACCUCACCAGGCCCAGACACUGGAAGGAUUGACAGAUUGAGAGCUCUUUCUUGAUUCAGUGGGUGGUGGUGCAUGGCCGUUCUUAGUCGGUGGAGCGAUUUGUCAGGUUAAUUCCGAUAACGGACGAGACUCUGACCUGAUAACUAGACGCACUUGCGGCAUCUCAAAGGUCCGCCGGCGGCUGGCUCUGCGCCCGUCGUCGCGCGCGAUUUUUACUGCCGGCGUACAAUAAAUUCUUCUUAGAGGGACAAGUGG
rnacentral:rRNA from 1 species